AAGGCGGCAGCUAUACUGCAGUCGAGCGCGCCCUUCGGGGUGAGCGGCGGACGGGUGAGUAACGCGUGGGAAUAUGCCCUUCUCUGAGGAAUAGCCUCGGGAAACUGAGAGUAAUACCUUAUACGCCCUACGGGGGAAAGAUUUAUCGGAGAAGGAUUAGCCCGCGUUAUAUUAUGUAGUUGGUGGGGUAAUGGCCUACCAGGCCUACGAUCUAUAGCUGGUUUGAGAGGAUGAUCAGCCACACUGGGACUGAGACACGGCCCAAACUCCUACGGGAGGCAGCAGGAGGGAAUCUUAAACAAUGGGGGAAACCCUGAUCUAGCCAUGCCGCGUGUGUGAUGAAGGCCUUAAGGUCGUAAAGCACUUUCGCCAAAGAUGAUAAUGACAGUAUCUGGUAAAGAAACCCCGGCUAACUCCGUGCCGGCAGCCGCGGUAAC
rnacentral:rRNA from 1 species